AUGACCCACUCCUGCUGCUCUCCUUGCUGCCCUCUAUCCAACACCUGCUGCAGGAACACCUGCUGGAAACCAACCUGUGUGACCAGCUGCUGCAGCCCACCCUGCCCAGCUGCCUCCAACCAAUCUGCUGUAAAGCCACCUGCCUCCUUAAGUCAACUUGUGUGGUUGUCUGCUGCAGUACACCCUACUGCCAGUCCUGCUGU
rnacentral:lncRNA from 1 species